GUGUGGUUUUCUGGAGAGUCCAGGAUGUGGACUUGAAACUCUGAGUUUGUGUAGCUGUGAUUUGUCAGAGAUCUGCUGUGAUUAUCUGGCAGCAGCGCUGAAGUCCAACCCCUCCCAUCUGAGAGAGCUGGACCUGACAGGAAACUACCUGCUGUAUCCACAUGUGGAACAGCUGUGUGUUCUUAAGAAGAGUCCAGAAUGCAAACUGCAGAAACUGGAGUGGAAGGAUGAUGACUGGUAAACAGGACGAUGUGUGUGCUGAGAAAGGAUGAGCUUUUUCCUGAUGAUCUAGAGAGGUUGAAGGUGCAGCAGCUUGUGUGUAGAGACACUCUGACUGGGCCAUGUUAUUGGGAGAUGGAGUGGAGAGGAGAGCUUCAUCAAGUAGUCACUGACAGAGGGAUGAGAAGAAGUGCAGAUGAGCUCCACUGUCAGAAACAAUGUGGAGUCCAGCAUCAUCCCUGUGUGUCCCUCCGGAUCUGACAGAGGAUAAUCAGUGCAUUUGGACUGCUCUGCUGCUGCUCUGUCCUUCUACAGUCUCUGCACAGUCUCUGUCUGACACUGGCUUCAGAUCCUCCUGGAUCAAACUCACCUUGAAAUUCUUUCAAACACCUUUGAAUAGUAAACACAAUGUUUUUAUAAGAUAAAUAUCAUGUUUUCAUGUUUGUGUGCAGUUUGAAGUUUGAGCCUCAGUGGAUGAAUCAGUGCUUAAUGUUUAAUGUGGAUACUAAUGAUCAAUAAAUGUGCUGAUUGGAAUCAAA